GGCUCUUUGGCGUUGCGGUCAAGCUGCAGGUUUAGUGCCCCGGAGACCCGGGUUCAAGACCGGGUGGGGUCA
rnacentral:tRNA from 1 species